AUGGGUGUUUUUUCGGUUCGCAGUGCGUACAAGCUAGCCGUUAAUGACAAGAAGGCGAAUCGAGAUUUGGGACAAAGCAGUACAGCACCAACUAAAGAAAGAAAGAUUUGGAGCAUGCUUUGGAAAGCAAAUGUUCCUCCCAAGAUUAGAAAUUUUGGGUGGCAUUUGGUGACCGAGUCACUCGGAGUUCAUACAAGUAGACAUAAGAGAGGGUUGGAGCUAUUCCCUACAUGCUCUAUUUGUGGGAUGGAACCAGAAGAUGGAUAUCACGCAGUCAUAAGAUGCACAAAAGCUAAAGCCCUGCGUGACACCAUGCGUGAGGUCUGGACCCUUUCCCGGGAUACUGAUCUUACAUGUACGGGGCGUGAGUGGGUCCUUCUAACUCUUGAUAAGGCGAAUGAGAAGGAGCGUACACACCUCCUCUUCAUCUGGUGGCGAGCGUGGCACCUUAGAAAUAACAUUAUAUUUGGUGACGGGAAAGAUACAAUAAAGACAUCAGCAGAAUUCCUACAAAGUUAUGCUAGCUCCUUUGCGGCGAUCAGAGCAGGACAGUCGCUUCCUGACUUUAAAGGAAAAGGAAAAGUGACGCCAGACAUUUUAUUCCUUGAGACUAAACAGAGAGAUGCAGAUUAUCAAUAG
rnacentral:rRNA from 1 species